AUUAUGAGUGUUACUAACUGCACAACGAAUAAGCACGUGGUUUUGUUUGAGGGAGUAAUGUCUGCUGCUAAAGCAGCUCUGCAGUGAUUGCAUAUAUGAGGAAUACUGAAAUACUGGCAAGAAGUCAUGGGAAAAUAACAGUGAAUGGUGCAGGUGGGGUACAUGUGUUGAACACCAAUGGAGAGAAAAUCCUGUGGGCUCCAAAAGUACACAGCCAGUUGCAGCACUUAAAAAUGUACCAGAGGUUAACUUUUCUGAGGAAUUAUUUUUAGAAUCUAAUAACGGGAUGUUGAAAUUGAGAAGUCUGAUAUCCUGUUCAGUUAUCUAGUAAUAAAUCAAGUUUCAUGCAUCUCCCUCUCAUCUGUCUUUCAUGUGAUGAGUGUCUGCCAGCCUACCUUUUGCUCAAACCAGAACAUAUCCUGCAGACAUGGACUGGACUGCCAUGGUUCUGAUGUUCUUCAGUGUCUGACUGUAAAUGUAUCCAAGAGUAUUACCCAAAUAAUUGCAGAGAAUUGCUGUAGAUGUCCAGCAGCUUUCACUGGAAUGUACACCAAAGCAAGACUCCUGCUUAGUUUUUUUCCUGAGCAAGAGAUACAGCAAAAAGACAAAUCUCUUAGACAGUAGCAGAAGUUGUGAUUGGUGUUUAGCACAGGCUGCCCAAUCAAGAGGAACCUGUUGAUGAAGCCUUCCUGUUCCAGCUACAAGAAGAAAUGCUCAUGGGCUCCCAUCCUAGUAGGGGACUCAAUCACUUGGAUAUUUUCUGGAAAAGAGGCACAGCAAGCUGUAACUUGUCCUGGAGACUCAUGGAGUGCAUUGAGGAUAACUUCUUAAUUGAGGUAAGAGAGAGCCUGAUCAGAAGAGAAGCAUUACUGCACCAGGUGCUCACCAACACAGCUGAACUAAUUGGAGGCAGUUGAGGCUGAAGUGAUCAUGCCCUGGUGGAGUCUGUGAUCUUGAGGGAUAUGGGUCUAAAAAAAGUGAAGUCAGUAUCCUGAAUUUUAGACAACCUAAAUUCCAGAUUUUUAAAGAAUUAGUGGAUGAGAUCCCCUGGUAAUUGUCCUUAGGGAUAAAAUAACUGAUUGGGGCUGGGAGACCUUUACCAACACUUUUCAUUGAGCACAAGAACU
rnacentral:lncRNA from 1 species